CACAGGCUCAGGAGGGUUGAAUAACUUGACCACGGUCAAAUGGCCAGUAAAUGGUAGAGCCAGAAUCCAACUCAGGUAGUUCAGUAUGGAGCCUGAGCUUUUAAGAGGAGGGGAGGAAAAUGCUUUGGAGUAACGUUUCUAAAUGAAAUACUGCAUUUUUGACAGCAGACAGUACUGUCUGCUGCCUUCCUUGGUGAGCUAACACCAACUUGAAACAAUUGCUCCCUCCCCAGGCAGCAUCUGCUUUGGUUCUCCAAGGAAAUUGAUUCACUCUGUGGAGACUCUCUUUGGGAGAGGCCAAAGUUCCUUACAGCUUCUGGGAUCACAAAACCCUUUUCAACAAGAUCCCUUAGGCCCAGGCUCCUAAAAACUGUGUAAUAAAUUUACCAUCAAAACAAUCUCACUUGAUCCCUCUGAGACCAUCAUGCUACAAACAAAGGCUGAGCUCAUUGAUGAAGAAGUCUUGAGUUCAUCAUUUUUUCUUCUCUAAUAGCUGAGAUGGCAGUCAAUGAGAGUGACUGCAGAAAGUUUCAGAAGGACACAUGGGAAUCAUUUAACCAGGCCAAUAAAAUCAGCUAUUUAUACACUUCCCCCGGAAGACAUAGCCCUUGCUUCACUGUCUGAAGGAGAGAAAAUGCAAAAGUUUACCCCAGAAGAAAAGAGGAAACCGGC
rnacentral:lncRNA from 1 species